AGAUGUUUUGAAUAAUGUCCGGGGGUAAAAGACCCAGUAUCAUGCAGCAGGCCCAGCAUAGAACUAAAGAAGAGGAGAAGAGGAUUCACCAGAGUCUUCUGGAUUUAAACGUGCAAGUCGCAACAUUUAGAGAUUUGUUAGUACAUGUUGGCGGACCAAGGGAUACACCGGAAAUGAGAGAGAGAAUAAGACGAGUCCGACGAGUUUGUUUAG